GUAGUAUUCCCUCCGUCCCAAAAUUCUUGUCUUACAUUCGUUUAGAUACAGAUGUAUCUAACACUAAAAUGUAACUAGAUACAUCCGUUUAAGACAAGAAUUUUGGGACGGAGGGAGUACAAA
rfam:Triticum aestivum genome assembly, contig: Triticum_aestivum_CS42_TGACv1_scaffold_147405_2BS